AAAGAAAAAGGAAAGGAAAAAAAUGUUCCAGCUUGAUAUGAUUAUUUAUUUAUUUAUUAUUUGUUAAUAAUUAUUUCCUCACUAGUUUGUCCGCAUACUUUCAGUAUUUUUUAAAAAUCAUGGUGAGUAGUAUUUGUUCUUGUGUAUGAUGA
rnacentral:ribozyme from 1 species